UUGGAUGCACUAGAACUGGAGGUUCAGACU
rnacentral:piRNA from 1 species